CACGGGGGGCAGCAGUGAGGAAUAUUGGUCAAUGGGCGGGAGCCUGAACCAGCCAAGCCGCGUGAGGGAAGAAGGUACAGCGUAUCGUAAACCUCUUUUGUCAGGGAACAAAGGCGGGGACUAGUCCCCGGAUGAGGGUACCUGAAGAAAAAGCAUCGGCUAACUCCGUGCCAGCAGCCGCGGUAAUACGGAGGAUGCGAGCGUUAUCCGGAUUUAUUGGGUUUAAAGGGUGCGCAGGCGGCCUGUUAAGUCAGCGGUAAAAGACCGGGGCUCAACCCCGGCGAGCCGUUGAAACUGGCGGACUGGAGUUGGAGAGAAGUACGCGGAAUGCGCGGUGUAGCGGUGAAAUGCUUAGAUAACGCGCAGAACCCCGAUUGCGAAGGCAGCGUACUGGCUCCACACUGACGCUGAGGCACGAAAGCGUGGGUAUCGAACAGGAUUAGAUACCCUUGUAGUC
rnacentral:rRNA from 1 species